CCGAGAAUAUUCCGCAAUGGGCGAAAGCCUGACGGAGCGACGCCGCGUGGUUGAUGAAGUCCUUCGGGACGUAAAAACCUUUUAUGGGGGAGGAAGUUAUUGACGUUACCCCAUGAAUAAGGAGCUCCUAACUCUGUGCCAGCAGGAGCGGUAAUACAGAGGCUCCAAGCAUUAUCCGGAAUCACUGGGCGUAAAGGGUGUGUAGGCGGUCGUAUUAGUCUUUCGUAAAAGCACUGGGGCUUAACCCCGGUAAUGCGGGAGAAACGGUACGACUACGAAGACGUAAGAGGUACAGGGAACUCAUGGUGUAGGGGUGAAAUCCGUUGAUAUCAUGGGGAACACCAAAUGCGAAGGCACUGUACUGGUACGUUCUUGACGCUGAAACACGAAAGCGUGGGAAUCGAACGGGAUUAGAUACCCGGGUAGUCC
rnacentral:rRNA from 1 species